rnacentral:rRNA from 1 species
UAGGGAAUCUUCGGCGAUGGGGGCAACCCUGACCGAGCAACGCCGCGUGAGUGAAGAAGGUUUUCGGAUCGUAAAGCUCUGUUGUAAGAGAGGAACGUGUGUGAGAGUGGAAAGUUCACACAGUGACGGUAACUUACCAGAAAGGGACGGCUAACUACGUGCCAG